GUGGGAAGGCGAGAGGAACCAGGAGCUCAUCCCUCCUCCCAUGGCUGCCUCGUGGAUCUGGAGGUGCCUGUUGCAGGCGGCUCGAGCGAUGCAAGCCGGCGGCGAACUAGGUCCAUGGACAUUGUCAUAAUGGUCACCUUAUCGCAGUGUAUUAUUUUUGGAUCUCAUAUUCCUCAAGGCGCUCCAUUCUCUGAUUCGAUGUCUGGCGAUCUGAGAAAUAAGAGGAGGAAUAAUCCAGCAGAAGAAUUUGGUGAAGAAGAACAAGAAAAGAAUACCUUUAUCCUGAUAGGCAUGGAAACACCGGUUCGCAUUGAGUGCAUCAUCGCUAAUCA